GAUGAACGCUGGCGGCGUGCCUAAUACAUGCAAGUCGAGCGAACAGACCAGGAGUUUGCUCCUCCGACGUUAGCGGCGGACGGGUCCGUCACUUGUGGUUAACCUACCUAUAAGACUGGGAUACCUUUGGGAAACCGGAGCUACUACCGGAUAAUAUAUUGCCCUGCAUGGUUCAAUCGUGAAAUACGGUUUUGCUGUCACUUAUAGACGACUAAGCCCAGCAUUCGCUAGUUGGUAAGGUAAAGGCUUACCAAGGCUACGAGGCGUAGCCGACCCCAGAGGGAGAUCGGCCACACGGGAACUGAGACACAGUCCAGACUCCUACGGGGGGCAACGGUAGAGAAUCUUACGCAAUGGAGGAGAGCCGAACGUAGCAACGCCGCGGAAGUGAUGAAGGUCUUCGGAUCGGUAAGCGCUGUUAUUAGUGAAGAACAAAUGUUUAAGUAACUAGGAACAUCUUGACGGUACCGGAUCAGAAAGCCACGGCUAACUACGUG
rnacentral:rRNA from 1 species